rnacentral:rRNA from 1 species
UACGAAGGUCCCGAGCGUUGUUCGGAAUCACUGGGCGUAAAGGGAGCGUAGGCGGCAUGGUAAGUCAGAUGUGAAAUCCCGGGGCUCAACCCCGGAACUGCAUCCGAUACUGCCUUGCUCGAGGGUUGGAGAGGUGACUGGAAUUCUCGGUGUAGCAGUGAAAUGCGUGGAUAUCGAGAGGAACACUCGUGGCGAAGGCGAGUCACUGGACAACAUCUGACGCUGAGGCUCGAAGGCCGGGGGAGCAAAAGGG